rnacentral:lncRNA from 1 species
GGACGCACCGACCCGGUAAUGACGCUGCGGCUCUUCCGCUCGAAGCCGCCACGGCUCAGCCCUGACUUGGACAGGCAGGAGCGCCAAGGGCUGGGGCUCAGGCAGCCCCUCGCCCAGAGCCAGGCCGCUGGUUCCAAGAGCUGGGCUACACGACGCCCCUGAGGGGCCUGUGCUGUCCACUCUCUGCUCUGCAAGCUCAACCCCCGUCACUGCCCAGUGGACGAAGAAGGUUCCCGAGAGCCUCCCUCACCAGACUCCAGCAGCCUCGCCGGCAGACCAGCUUCGCUGAGCAGUCCGACCCGUGUCAUC